UUCUUUAAUUUAAUUUAAUACAUUGUCAAGCUUGCUUGAAUCAUUUAUUCUUGCACUCUCAAUGCUUUUCCCUAAUGUCAUAUAGGUUGGCAUCCUAUUCUUCCACCGGAGAAGACAACAGAUGAUAUUUUGCUUUUUUUCAAGCUAUAUGACCCGGAGAAAAAAGAGAUUCGGUAUGUUGGAAGGCUUUUUGUUAAGGGUAUUGAUAAGCCUGUGGAUAUCCUAACAAAACUAAAUCAAAUGGCUGGCUUUAACCCUAACGAAGAAAUAGAUCUUUAUGAGGAAAUUCAGUUUAAGCCUAGUGUCAUUUGUGAACAAAUUGACAAGGAAG